CCCAAGAUGGCGGCUCCUCCGGGCGAGUACUUCAGCGUUGGGAGCCAGGUGUCGUGCCGGACGUGCCAGGAGCAGCGGCUGCAGGGCGAGGUGGUAGCCUUUGACUACCAAUCCAAAAUGCUGGCUUUAAAAUGUCCCUCUUCCAGUGGAAAGCCCAACCAUGCAGACAUCUUGCUCAUAAACUUACAGUAUGUUUCAGAAGUGGAAAUAAUUAAUGACCGAACAGAAACCCCUCCUCCCCUAGCUUCACUCAAUGUUAGUAAGCUUGCCAGCAAAGCACGGACAGAGAAGGAGGAGAAGCUGAGCCAGGCCUAUGCAAUCAGUGCUGGUGUCUCUCUAGAGGGCCAGCAGCUCUUCCAGACCAUUCACAAGACCAUUAAAGACUGUAAAUGGCAAGAAAAAAACAUCGUAGUCAUGGAAGAAGUUGUUAUUACACCCCCAUAUCAAGUGGAAAACUGUAAAGGCAAAGAGGGGAGUGCACUGAGCCAUGUACGCAAAAUAGUUGAAAAACAUUUUAGAGACGUGGAAAGCCAAAAGAUACUGCAACGUUCACAAGCCCAGCAACCACAGAAGGAGGCUGCCCUGUCAUCCUGAGUCCGUACACAUGGAGGACUCUUCCAGCAUCCAGCCAAGGAGGCGCUGGUGGUGGCUUCAGCGGAGGCAGGCCGGGGGAGGGAAGGGAUCCUAUAUGUCCUGUUGGCUCUUAACAAAGGGUCAGCAUUUCCAAAUCUUAGACUUGAACAAACAAAACACCCAACAAAAAAGAACAAGAGAAUAAUUUAAAAGUUGAAUCAUUACUUGACUAACAGACUUCGGUCCACCAUGUCCUUUUCACAGCCCUCUUCUGGAACAGUCACCUUGUUAAUUUUAUUUUUGAAAAUUAUUUUCCCACUCUGCCCUUUACUUCUGACUUUCCUUUCCUAGUUUGUUCCUGCCAUUCUGUUUUUAUAAGUGGCUACACUUGCCUUCUGAAUGAUUGAAAGAAACUUUUACAUCUUUUCUUCCAAAAUAAAAGUAACAAGCUGACUGUGAUUCUUAAGUUGAGACCAGAGCAGCAAACGUCUCACUUUAAAUUUUUGUUUUCUUUUCCUUUUUUUUUCUUUUUUCUUUUUUCUUUUUUUUUUUUUUUGCACAGGGCAUGGCUUGAAUUAGUUUUAUUUUUCUUAACUUUAAAUAUAUAUAUGAAAAUAUAUAUUAAAAUGUUCUCUAAAUAUUUUCUGCUUCUUGCAGGUCUCUUUUUACUAGAUCAUGGCUGUUCUUCCCACCUCAUCCCUCUGAAAAUAAAAAUGUAUUGCCCUCUCCACCAUCCAUCAUAGCCAGGCCACUAACUUGACUUGGUGCAAGAGAUUCUUGCUGCGAACUUUGUAGAGCCAGUGUGCAGAUAGAAUUUGGCUUUGAGGGUUCCUGAUGGCUUUUUAGUCUUUAACUGUGUGUGUACCAGUCUCACAUUUGGCCCAAACCUCAGGAUUCUCCCUCUGCCUGUCUUACUUCAUGGUACUAGAAGACCUUCCUCGCCACUCUCUCCACAUGAGAGAGUCAGCUGCCCUUUCUCCUGUGCCUCUGCAGGAAGAACUCUCUUGCAUGGCACAUCUCAGCUCCUCAUUGAGGGAUAGUUUUCUUUGAUAAGAAACCUGGAGUCCAUUUACUCUGACCUCUCUUUAAAUCUAUAUCCAGAGCCACUAGCCCAGGAAAAACUUGGGUGACCCGUAAUUUCUCUUCUCCUGCUGUCCUUUUGCUCUUACGCCCCACCCCAACUCCCCUUAAAUUUUACAGGCUUAUGACAGUUUGUAUGUGCUCAGCCAAUGAGCAGAAAACCUGGAAAGAAUUUCUGGACUUUAGCCCACCAGUUUGUCUGGUUGACUAACCUGCUGAGAGCUAAAAUUGGCACCCAUUGCCCCGUGCCUUCAGGCAGUCUCCUGGGGCAGAGUAUGCCACCAUCCGAAUAUCAGGCACUGAGUGGGAUGUGGGUGAUGCUCACAUGACUGGCUAGAGCUUUGGGGGUGGGGUGGGGGUUAACUACUAUUUUUUUGGCCAUGAUCUCUUUCCCCUUCCUUUUUUUUUUAAUUAAAUAAAUGGAUCAAAUUAAAUAAUUCAAGCCCUGCCUUCAAAAUGAAAUUUUUUUUUUAGUAUUAUUUAGCAAAAACAAUAAAACCCAAAUUUUUUUAACCAUCAAAAAAAAAAAAA
rnacentral:lncRNA from 1 species